UGUAACUACCUUUAUCAGGGGGAUAGCCUCUCGAAAGAGGAGAUUAAGCCCGCAUAACAUCACGAUGCAGCAUUGUAAUGUGAUCAAAUAUUUAUAGGAUAGAGAUGGGCAUGCGGAACAUUAGCUAGUUGGUAAGGUAAUGGCUUACCAAGGCUACGAUGUUUAGGGGAUCUGAGAGGAUGACCCCCCACACUGGUACUGAGACACGGACCAG
rnacentral:rRNA from 1 species